GUUUGAUCAUGGCUCAGAUUGAACGCUGGCGGCAUGCCUUACACAUGCAAGUCGAACGGCAGCACGGGAGCUUGCUCCUGGUGGCGAGUGGCGAACGGGUGAGUAAUACAUCGGAACGUACCCUGAAGUGGGGAUAACGUAGCGAAAGUUACGCUAAUACCGCAUAUUCUGUGAGCAGGAAAGAGGGGGAUCGCAAGACCUCUUGCUUUAGGAGCGGCCGAUGUCGGAUUAGCUAGUUGGUGAGGUAAAGGCUCACCAAGGCGACGAUCCGUAGCGGGUCUGAGAGGAUGAUCCGCCACACUGGGACUGAGACACGGCCCAGACUCCUACGGGAGGCAGCAGUGGGGAAUUUUGGACAAUGGGCGCAAGCCUGAUCCAGCCAUGCCGCGUGAGUGAAGAAGGCCUUCGGGUUGUAAAGCUCUUUCGGUGGGGAAGAAAUUGCUUCGGUUAAUACCUGGAGUAGAUGACGGUACCCGCAUAAGAAGCACCGGCUAACUACGUG
rnacentral:rRNA from 1 species